rnacentral:rRNA from 1 species
CUUCCGUAGGUGAACCUGCGGAAGGAUCAUUACCGAGUGAGGGCCCUCUGGGUCCAACCUCCCACCCGUGUUUAUUUUACCUUGUUGCUUCGGCGAGCCUGCCUUUUGGCUGCCGGGGGACGUCUGUCCCCGGGUCCGCGCUCGCCGAAGACACCUUAGAACUCUGUCUGAAGAUUGUAGUCUGAGAUUAAAUAUAAAUUAUUUAAAACUUUCAACAACGGAUCUCUUGGUUCCGGCAUCGAUGAAGAACGCAGCGAAAUGCGAUACGUAAUGUGAAUUGCAGAAUUCAGUGAAUCAUCGAGUCUUUGAACGCACAUUGCGCCCUCUGGUAUUCCGGAGGGCAUGCCUGUCCGAGCGUCAUUGCUGCCCUCAAGCACGGCUUGUGUGUUGGGCUCCGUCCUCCUUCCGGGGGACGGGCCCGAAAGGCAGCGGCGGCACCGCGUCCGGUCCUCAAGCGUAUGGGGCUUUGUCACCCGCUUUGUAGGACUGGCCGGCGCCUGCCGAUCAACCAAACUUUUUUCCAGGUUGACCUCGGAUCAGGUAGGGAUACCCGCUGAACUUAAGCAUAUCAAUAAGCGGAGGAA